CUCUGCGUUGUGGCCGCAGCAACCUCGGUUCGAAUCCGAGUCACGGCAUCGCUUCAAUGGCGGUAGCACGGCAUGGGGGCCCUGUGAGCUUUUUACUGGGAGGCUGGAGUCCAAGCAGCCGCCGCUUCAUAUGGGCAGCAGCCUGGCACAGCCAGCCUGUUUCAGCGUUUGGAGGAUACAGGGCACGGCCAGCCUGUUACAAGCUCCGUGCCUGGUGACUUCCCGACACUGGAAGAGGUGGCAAUGUCAUCUACAUUCUUCCUCUCUCUGGCCUGGUCUGCUCAGGACUUCUCUCAGGAUCAGGAUGGUGAAGUUCCAGGGUCCCAGGAGAUGGCAGGCCUGGCAGUCAUGAUGGCAAUGAUCAGUGCGUCAGGGAAGUGUCCAGUGCGGAGAGAGCAGCCCAGAGUGGGGACACCCAAGCCCCUGCCCUAAGUGACCAUGACAAGGUGUGUGUGACCAUCUCAGUGCCAGCAUCAUUCCAGGCUGAAUUCCUAGCACAACACCUCCAAGCUCCCCUAACAAGGCAUGCACCUGCACCGUGCAGACAUCACACCCGCAGGAAGCCAUAUCCUGUAUCCCAUCCCCUGAGCUGACGCUGUUCUCUGAGAGCCCUAAGAUGUGGCUCAGAUUGUUCCUUCCAAUGGGCUUUGCUCUGCACCUAUCAGCACUGUCAUUCACCUCCCACCGUGCUGCUCAUUCACCUUGCUUGGGCUGGCCCUCUGAAGUUCCUCAGUCUUCCCCAGUCAUGGGCACAGCAGGGCUAGGCAGCACCAUCAGGAGCAGGGAUGAGGGCUUCUCCACUGCACCUGUCUGAGCACUGCCCUGUGCCCAGGAUAAAGGGGUUAGCCUAGGUAGAGCUGUCAUUUCCUCCAAACGGAUUUGUGCUGGAUUUUGGGGUACCAGAUCCUCUCUGAUACCAUUUUAACAAUUCGUUUGGGGCACUAGGACUAGCAUUGGCUUCCCAGUAAUUGGUGACAUUGGCUAAUGACCUGUGAUUUCAAAGGUGCCGCUGCCCAGUGUCAAACUCACUGCCGGGAUUUACCACAAUAGUCAUCUCAGCAAGCAGAAGCUCCGACCUCAAGGGCACUGAAUAUGUUGGCAGCAGCUUAGCCAAUGGAAACUGGAAGCCAGGGCAGAGGGGGUGGGCCAGCUGGUUAAUGGGAGAUCCAGCCUGCUGCUUCCCCAGGCCUGGCAAUAGCCGAACUGUGUAGGGGACGGGACCAGUAUCCCAGCGUUGCCAUGACAGUGGAAGCCAGCAUGUGACACCAGGAGGCACUGGCCAUACCUGCGGGGUAUGACCAAUGGCUGCAGACACUCUCUUUGCCUGCUGGGCUGCUCCAUGUCUGUGUCAUUUCCCUGAUUCCAUCUGUCCAUCAUACCCCAGGGCAGGAGGCCUAGCAGAGUGAUAACAGAUGGCCAGUGGAUGCCUAUCAGAUACCCUGUGGCCUGGGGGAGCUGGGAGCUCCUGGGGCUGGGUAUUGAGCAAACUGAUCCUGAGCCUGUUUGCUGUUGAGUGUGUUCACAGCCAGGCUCCCGCUCCCUUGGCAGCAGGCAGGGGCUCCCAUGGGGAUGCUCUCUGCACCCACUGCACCCUGAUCUGCCAGCUGUGCUGAGGAACCACCUUGCUGCCCUAUUUCCUGCGGCAGCUGAGACUGGAACCACCUCCUGUGCUAUAUGCCGGUCCUUAUCUCCAGGGGCCAAGUGUUUCCCCACCCCUGACCAGCACAUGGGGGUGUUCCUCCGCAUGCAGAUCUCCCCCUGUGCAAAGUGGGGCUUGGCUGUCUCAUAGCACUGACCCACAACACACAUGCAGGAGAGGAGCAGACUGGCUUGUGACAUUACUGACAUGAACUGGGACCGUAUAGAUCAUUGUUGCAACCAAGGUCCUGUAGUGGCAUCAAAUCUUGUAUAAAGGGGG